GAACACGUGUGCAACCUGCCUUUAUCUGGGGGAUAGCCUUUCGAAAGGGAGAUUAAUACCCCAUAAUAUAUCAGAUGGCAUCAUUUGAUAUUGAAAACUCCGGUGGAUAGAGAUGGGCACGCGCAAGAUUAGAUAGUUGGUGAGGUAACGGCUCACCAAGUCUACGAUCUUUAGGGGGCCUGAGAGGGUGAUCCCCCACACUGGUACUGAGACACGGACCAGACUCCUACGGGAGGCAGCAGUGAGGAAUAUUGGACAAUGGGUGAGAGCCUGAUCCAGCCAUCCCGCGUGAAGGACGACGGCCCUAUGGGUUGUAAACUUCUUUUGUAUAGGGAUAAACCUACCCUCGUGAGGGUAGCUGAAGGUACUAUACGAAUAAGCACCGGCUAACUCCGUGCCAGCAGCCGCGGUAAUACGGAGGGUGCAAGCGUUAUCCGGAUUUAUUGGGUUUAAAGGGUCCGUAGGCGGAUGUGUAAGUCAGUGGUGAAAUCUCACAGCUUAACUGUGAAACUGCCAUUGAUACUGCAUGUCUUGAGUGUUGUUGAAGUAGCUGGAAUAAGUAGUGUAGCGGUGAAAUGCAUAGAUAUUACUUAGAACACCAAUUGCGAAGGCAGGUUACUAAGCAACAACUGACGCUGAUGGACGAAAGCGUGGGGAGCGAACAGGAUUAGAUACCCUGGUAGUCCACGCCGUAAACGAU
rnacentral:rRNA from 1 species